rnacentral:rRNA from 1 species
GAGAUAGAGUCUUCCCCUUCGGGGGACAAAGUGACGGGUGGUGCAUGGUUGUCGUCAGCUCGUGUCGUGAGAUGUUGGGUUAAGUCCCGCAACGAGCGCAACCCUUAAGCUUAGUUGCCAUCAUUAAGUUGGGCACUCUAAGUUGGCUGCCGGUGACAAACCGGAGGAAGGUGGGGAUGACGUCAAAUCAUCAUGCCCCUUAUGAUUUGGGCUACACACGUGCUACAAUGGACAAUGCAAAGGGCAGCUAAACCGCGAGGUCAAGCAAAUCCCAUAAAGUUGUUCUCAGUUCGGGUUGUAGUCUGCAACUCGACUACAUGAAGCUGGAAUCGCUAGUAAUCGUAGAUCAGCAUGCUACGGUGAAUACGUUCCCGGGCCUUGUACACACCGA